GCAUGAUGGUGAUAAUGAUGGUGGUGGUGAUGAUAUUAAUGAUGAUGGUGGAUAUUGUCACCAUCAAUCAUCACCAUUGAAA